UGUUUUUAUGCUAAAGUACUCCCUAAGAGCUGUAAAGUUGGUGGAGGGGUAAACCAGCCCAGUCACCAGAACUGGCAUUUUAUGUUCCUGGAUAUUUAGAUAUUUUUCAGGAGAAAUCAAACCAAUCUCCAGUUCCAUGUUUGUGGGGACGAACCAUGGGAAGAGGUCUCACCUGCCAGCUCCCUCUGUUCAGGCGGCACUUUGCCAGCAGCUUGGAUCAUCGGCACUGACCCAAAGUAGCCGUUGGUGACUCCCAUGAGGAGAGAGAAGAGACAGGGCCAGGCGGGGUGUGACAGGGUUGGAGCGCUGGCCGGGUACACGCACAUGACGAACAGGGGGAUGAAGACCACCCUCAGACAGGAGAAGAAGAGCAGGCGGCCUCCAGACCAGUCGUACGGCAGAGCUGCCAGGAUCUGAGGAAAGAGCAGGGGGGUGCUUUAGUGAUGCUGGGGGUUACAUCCUCUUCUGCUUUCUUAUGAAUGCGUAAGGUUUUAGUUAAAUAGUUUAAAUGAAAUGUGCACUUUUCUUAGCAUAAGUCCACAUUCUGCAGUUAUUCUCCUUUGGUCUACUAGUUGCUGAUGGCACAUGUCAGAGAGCAACAAUAAGUUAAAAUGCCACAGAAACAUUUUUUUCUUUGUUAUUGUUCAGCCCUUAAGCUACCUUAAUUUUUCUUCCCUACUUUCAAUCUAAUUCGUCUUCUUAUCUUCUUCCCCUCGUUUCAACAAAAUGCUAAAUUUGCCAUGAGAACAAAAAUUCAAAGAAUAAAAUCAGAAUAACUUUCAUUCAGCUAACUUUUUUCCCUUCAAAGUCAAAAUAAUGACUUGAGGACACCAGAUAAGGGUUUCAUUUCUGAAUAUUCAGAUAAAGCCUUUGAGCUAAGUGCAAUUAUCCAAAAAUAAACCAGGCUUUUCUCCCCCCCAUCCUGCGCUCAGGUUUAAUAAAUGGAGUGACUCCUUUAACAAUCUCACAAGGUCAGCUGCUGUGUUAGAGUGUGACUUUGUCACUUUUCGGCUUCUUAAGUGCUGACAAGCUUGACGUACAAUAAAAUCCCAGGAUCUCAGUAAGUGUGAAAUGAAAUAGGGUCAUUACCAUAUUUUCUGUCAAAAACUACUUGAAUUUUGACAGAACAUAAAAGACGAGGUAGCAGCAACAAAAUGAUGGAUGUUGACAUCCCAUUAUUACAAGUGUAUCUUACACUUGAAUGCAACAGCAUGAUUUCCACGGGGGGAUGGAGUUGGUUGCACGCCCUCCUCGCUGUUCAAAAUCCUAUUUAUGUCUGCCUCACUUUUUAUAAUUUCAAUUUGAUUCAUUCUUUAGAAAGACCUCUAGACCCUGUCCUCUUAUUGUCAGACCUCCGAAAUCCAGUUAAUCCAAUCAGAAUGUUAAAAUGUUCAUCCGAGUCGCCUUCAGUAAUUACAAUGCGCUCACAGAGUUGAAAGGUACCGUAUUAAACUCACUUAAAGGUUCAUACUCUUAUUUUAGGUGUCUCUUAGAAAAUGUUUACAUGUUUUUAAUUUUUAGGGAACACAUUUGUUUUCUAAUGCUGUCCAAUGCUGCAGCACCUCUAUUCACCCUCUGACUGAACGCUCAGUUUUAGUCCCUGUGUCUUUAAGACUCCCCUCCCCCCAAAAAACCCAGUCUGCUCUGAUUGGUCAGCUCUCACAGGCUUGAGCAGGGUGCAUGCCCAUCAUGUUUGCAUUUGCAACCAGGGCCAUCUUAGUGGCACGACUGAGGGUGUUGUGACAUCACACCCUUACAGAAGUUCCGAUGGCUCGUUUGAAGGCACAGUUUCUGAGUUUCAAGGUAUCAUAAGUAGCUUUCAGUUUUUCUGUGAACUGAAUGUUCCUUAUGAUACUUUCCUCCUAUCUAUAUAGCAUCGAGACCUGCUACGUAAUAAAAAAAAAAAAAAAAAAAUGGAUAUCUCACUUUCAACAACAAGGGUCCUUUAAGUUUUGCAAGCAGCAGUGAGUGAUUUACAGACUUCUCUCACGGAGCAGACUAGCUUCCACUACCUUCUUGGUGGAGUUUGGGGGGGUUGUAUGCAUUUUUUGGGGAAGGGAUGAAAAGGACUACCCAAACUGGACUGAAUUUUGAGGUAAGAAAAAAUCAGUUAGCUGUUUUUAAUUACAGAUAACUCACACUAAAAUUACUCUACAACUGAUUAUCAAUCACGCUGUAUGCUUAUGGAUAUUUUUGGUACACCAACAUUUUUAGUGAACCAGGAUGACAAAUGUAAUCAUUAUCUAUUAUUUGGCAGAUAUGUAUGUAUAUAAAUGAAGAAAAUAACAAUGAUUUAACUUCUGUUAUUGAGGAACCUCCGGCUUCAUUGUGCAAUUCUUAAAUUUGUUUUUCUUUCGCCACAUGAGGGCAGCGGAAACAAGCAGUGAACACAACGCUGACAUUUUCCAACCCUGUUAAUGGAUGUGGUGACUCUGUUUGCACAGAGAUGCCUUUUCACACAUCCAGCGGUCCAGUUGUCUGGGUACCUGAUCAAUUAAAGUCUAAUAUCAACCCUC